GGGCUCCGCGGUGCCGGCCGAUCCGGAAGCAUGUCUGUCGACCGCGGAGGCGCUGGUGCCGUGCUGAGAGCGGCUGCCUAUGCCCCCCGAGCGGGGCUGGAACUCUUCCAAGACGCCCACGUUCGCACAGAGACCCCGGAUCGCGGAAGCUCGCGUCUCGAAAGGCCUGCGGUCUCACGCCCUGCCCGUCCUGGGUUCACGGUUUUUCAUCACCUGCGGCUGUCCUGCGAUCGACCACAGCUGUGCAGGAGGUAUCUGUUGCUGCAGUUACCGGAACCUUUGCCAGGACUAGUACAGGACCACGAGCUGGUAGCUCAGGGAUGUCUUGUCUGUGAGUUACAGCUGCACACUCUCCAGGAAAAAAGGAAUUUCCUCUUCUCUGGACACCCCACCACACAGCUGGUUUCUCAUUGGUGCUGCUUGCCCAUUCCCUGAGCUGUGACUGCCAGAGGAGUGGGAGGUUGGUGGUGCCUCCAGCCCAUCGGGGCAGGCCCUGGGACUGCCUGGGAACAGGACUAUGGCACAAACCGAGUUAGUGAUGGGAGCAACCCACAGUGCUCUGCCGCAUCCGUGUCUUCCUUCACUCACAUGAAAUGCAGAAAAGGCAGCUUUGCCACAGCACAGCAGCACGCACAGAAUGUGGCCGCCCAGGGCUCUGUCCUUGACCCCUGUUGUCCAGGACUGUUUACCAAGGGCUGACAGGCACUGAGUGCCCCGUGCACAUAGCCAGACACUGCACUCGUGCAGCGGAAAGGACAGUGAACGAGACUUGGUCCCUGGCUUCC
rnacentral:antisense_RNA from 1 species